UGGGGAAUAUUGGACAAUGGGGGAAACCCUGAUCCAGCAAUGCCGCGUGGGUGAUGAAGGCCUUCGGGUUGUAAAGCCCUUUCGGCGGGGACGAUGAUGACGGUACCCGCAGAAGAAGCCCCGGCUAACUUCGUGCCAGCAGCCGCGGUAAUACGAAGGGGCUAGCGUUGUUCGGAAUUACUGGGCGUAAAGGGCGCGUAGGCGGUCCCGAUCGUCGGAUGUGAAAGCCCCGGGCUUAACUGGGAACGGCAUUCGAUACGGCGGGGCUAGAGUGUGGGAGAGGAUGGUGGAAUUCCCAGUGUAGAGGUGAAAUUCGUAGAUAUUGGGGAAGAACACCGGUGGCGAAGGCGGCCAUCUGGACCACAACUGACGCUGAGGCGCGAAAGCGUGGGGAGCAAACAGGAUUAGAUACC
rnacentral:rRNA from 1 species